GGCGGCACGCCUAACACAUGCAAGUCGAGCGGUAACAUGUUUAGUAGCAAUACUAGAUGAUGACGAGCGGCGGACGGGUGAGGAACACGUAGGAAUCUACCCUCAAGCGGGGGACAACCAAGGGAAACUUUGGCUAAUACCGCAUAAUCUCGAGAGAGUAAAGUUGCCGCAAGGUGACACUUGAGGAGGAGCCUGCGUCCGAUUAGCUAGUUGGUAGGGUAAAAGCCUACCAAGGCAAUGAUCGGUAACUGGUCUGAGAGGACGGCCAGUCACACUGGGACUGAGACACGGCCCAGACUCCUACGGGAGGCAGCAGUGGGGAAUCUUGGACAAUGGGGGCAACCCUGAUCCAGCGAUGCCGCGUGAGUGAAGAAGGCCUUCGGGUCGUAAAGCUCUUUAGGUUGGGAAGAAGUUUAUGGGUUGAUAAUGCCCGUAGAUUGACGGUACCGACAGAAUAAGCACCGGCAAACUCUGUGCCAGCAGCCGCGGUAAUACAGAGGGUGCGAGCGUUAAUCGGAGUUACUGGGCGUAAAGGGCGCGUAGGCGGUUGUAUGAGUGUGAUGUGAAAGCCCCGGGCUUAACCUGGGAAGUGCAUCGCAAACGAUAUAACUGGAGUAUAUGAGAGGGUGGCGGAAUUUCCGGUGUAGCGGUGAAAUGCGUAGAGAUCGGAAGGAACGUCGAUGGCGAAGGCAGCCACCUGGCAUAAUACUGACGCUGAGGCGCGAAAGCGUGGGGA
rnacentral:rRNA from 1 species